GCAACUGUCUAAGAUUAGCCUGCAUGUCUCAGUAUACCUUCGAUCCGGAGACCGGCAAAUGGUUCAUUAUCCAUUUAUGAUUUAUUUGAUGGUCUCUUACUACUUGAAUAACCGUAUUAAUUCAAAACCUAAUACUUGCUCAAUAACCCGACUUCGGGAAGGGUUGUAUUUAUUAGAUACAGAACCCUCCCACUCCGGUGGCUUUUGGUGAUUCAUAAUAACUUCCCGAAUCGCAUUGCUUUACGCUGGCGAUGAUUCAUUCAAAUUUCUGCCCUAUCAACUUUCUUGGUAGGAUAGAGGCCUACCAUGGUGGUAACGGGUAACGGAUAAUUAGGGUUCAAUUCCGAAAAGGGACCCUGAAAAACGGCUACCACAUCCAAGGAAGGCAGCAGGCCCGCAAAUUACCCAAUCCUGACACAGGGAGGUAGUGACAAUAAAUAACAAUACGGGACCUUUUAGGCCUUGUAAUUGGAAUGAGAACAAUUUAAAUCCCUUAUCGA
rnacentral:rRNA from 1 species